rnacentral:rRNA from 1 species
UACGGGGGGGGCAAGCGUUGUUCGGAAUUACUGGGCGUAAAGGGCUCGUAGGCGGCCAACUAAGUCGGAUGUGAAAUCCCCAGGCUCAACCUGGGAACUGCAUCCGAUACUGGAUGGCUUGAAUUCGGGAGAGGGAUGCAGAAUUCCAGGUGUAGCGGUGAAAUGCGUAGAUAUCUGGAGGAAUACUGGUGGCGAAGGCGGCAUCCUGGACCGACAUUGACGCUGAGGAGCGAAAGCCAGGGGAGCAAAGCGGG